UUGUUCUCUUGACCUUCGCUAUCAAAACAACAGGAGUGAGAAAUAUGGCGGAUUUUGUAAAGCCGAUUCACCGCCAUAAAGCUUCAGUUUUGGAAGGACACGGUCUUCUUUUUGUUCAUUGUGGAUCGUCAGAGCCUAUGCUGUUGGUUCCUAUGGGUUAUCGUGUGUUCAGUUUCAAUGCCGUGAGAUUCACAUCAGAAGAAUCGCUAUAUUUGUCUCUAAAAGUUGAUGAAAUCUUCGCCGAUUGCAAUAGCCCAGCAUUGAUAGAGUAUAGAGAUACAUUCCAGUUGUGUUUGUAGGGUAAGUCGUUUGUUUUAAUCCUUAAAGCCAAUACAAAGGCAAUGUAUCUACGCAAUGCUUCUUGCUUUUUCUAUGAUUCACAUUUUUAUAGCCAAUAUUGGUAACAAUAUUUGUGCUUUCUAUUUUGAAUAUAGAUAGAUAGAUAUUUAUUAAUAUAUGAAUAUAUGCAUAUAGAGCUAAAAAAUAGUUUAAGUUAGAGAAGCCAACACUGUUCAUUUGGUUUGAUCAUAGAGGUUUGAUUACUUUGGUAUUUUAUACGUACUAUUAAAGUAAUUAACCCAUUGAAUUGCAUCGAGUUGCAUUAAUUGCACCCUGAUGCACCCUACUUUAUUAUUUUACUCUAACGCCAGAUUAUUUUACUCUUUCUAAUGGCAGCUGGCCUAUCUGCCCAUGUGCCUAGUUAACCCAUUGAGUCACAUUGUGCCCUCAUGCGCCCUACUUUAAUAUUUUACUCUGUCUAACGCUGGCACUUAAAGGGUUAAACACAAGAUUGUUUUUAUAUAUUGCAGUUCUCUGACCUCAGUGAUCUAAGACGAGAUGGAACAGGACAAUCUUUUAUCUUUGGGAAUGUUAUUUUGUGGGAUUUAGAUAUUCUGCCAUUGCCACCUUCUCAACCUCAAGGUCCAGAUACUGUUAAUGAAGAUUUGGACAGUGUGCUGUCACUAAUAAAUUUACAAGGGCAAACUGGAUAUAACUGUGAUCUACAACCAAUAAAUUCAGUGUGCUUGGUGGGUACUAUUACUCUACAGUGCAGCAUUGCUUAUUGCGAAAAGUGGACCAUGGGACAGAGAUGAUCCAAGAAACAAUUAUAACAGUGACAUAGAUUACUAGAAUAUUGUAAAUUGAUGUUUGUGAUGUUAUUCUGAGUGUGCAUCCACACCGGGCAAGCUGAAAAGUUUGCCUGACCAUGGUGGGAAUCGAAGUUGCCAUCUUUGGGAUAUUAGUCCAAUUAUGCUCUACCAACUGAGCUCAGCUCGGUGUGGAUGCAUACUCAGAGUAACAUCACAAACAUAUUCACCUGAGUAAAUAAAACCAACACACACAAGAAGUAUAUUGUAAAUUGUUGUUAUUUUAUUAUGGAUUCCUACAUAUUUAUUUUAUUAUGGAUCCCUACAAUUGGGUCAUUCCAGAAAACAUCCAUACUGCCCCCACGGAGGAAAUAGGAAGUUAACCCCCCUACCCCCUUCGGAUGUCCUAAUACAUUUACUAUUAUCAGAAACAAUUUUUUCUCUCCUCCCCCUCCGGACGGCAGAAAUUUCCUCUGUGGGGGGAGUAUGGAUCUUUUCUGGAACGACCCAUUAUAACAGUGACAUAGAUUACUAGGCUAAUGCGGUAAAUUGUUGUUAUUUUAUUUUGUUAUGGACAAAAUUUCUCCAGAUCCAUGGAUCUUUUUUGGCAAUAGAUAUCAACUUGAUCAAAGCUUUAUUUUCCUCAAAGGUCCAUUUAUGUUUUUUUCACUGGUGACUUCUCUGACAGAGUCAGCCUGAUCUUUCUGCUAGGAAACUACAAAAAAGUAUGUCAUUUACUAAAAUGGAAAUUGGGGCGCAGAUGACAUAUGAAUAAACAUACAUGAAUAAUGUUACACUGCAGAAUAAUGUUACACAGAGGUAUUAAGGUGGAGAAAUACAGACAACAAAAUAGCUGCAAUUUGCAACAAAAUCUGAUUUCAACAGAUGUUAAGUGGAGAUGUUGACACAUAACUUAAUACAAGUCAUAGAAAUGUUGACACAUGUUGCCUCGUACAUGCGUUGAAAUCAGAUUUUGUUGCAAGUUGCAGCAAUUUUGUUGCUCGUAUUUACUCCAGCUUUACACUGAAUAUACAAAGAGUCAAAGACAAUUUAUAAGAAUAAAAUAGCAAAGAAUAACAGUACAUUUAUAAGUACAAUUUCGUCUACCAUAUUUUUUUUUAUUAUACCUUUGCUGAUGUGCCAGGACUUUGAAACAAAGCUCGAUUGAAUGGAGUGAAUGAUGAACUCUCCACACGAGAUAUUUUCCUGGCGUAUCAGUAUUAAAUUUGAGUUUCCUCAUUUUCUAAAUCAUGAUCAACAAUGACAACAUCGCCAUCAUUAAUAGUUCCAUUUUUUGCUCCAAUAAACUCGAAUAAGUCGAAUUCUAUAAAAACAAAUGAUACAAUCAGGAACAAUACGUUUAUAGAAAAGCUGGCUUGUUUACGUUGCAUUCGCGCCAUAUUUCCUGUAGAAUUCCUCUUUUCCCGCGAUUGGUGACAAC
rnacentral:lncRNA from 1 species